rnacentral:pre_miRNA from 1 species
AUUCUACUCCCUCCGUUGCACAAUACAUGCCUUCUAUUUGUCAAAAUAUAUAUGUAUCUAGACAUGUUUUAGUAUAUAGGUACAUCCAUUUUUGGACAACUGGAAGUCAAGUAUUUUGGAACGGAGGGAGUACACA